rnacentral:rRNA from 1 species
GACGAACGCUGGCGGCGUGCUUAACACAUGCAAGUCGAACGGAAAGGCCCCUUUGGGGGUCCUCGAGUGGCGAACGGGUGAGUAACACGUGAGUAACCUGCCCUUGACUUCGGGAUAACUUCAGGAAACUGGGGCUAAUACCGGAUAGGAAUCCUUGCUGCAUGGUGGGGGUUGGAAAGCUUCGGCGGUUUUGGAUGGACUCGCGGCUUAUCAGCUUGUUGGUGGGGUAGUGGCCUACCAAGGCUUUGACGGGUAGCCGGCCUGAGAGGGCGACCGGCCACAUUGGGACUGAGAUACGGCCCAGACUCCUACGGGAGGCAGCAGUGGGGAAUAUUGCACAAUGGGCGGAAGCCUGAUGCAGCAACGCCGCGGGCGGGAUGACGGCCUUCGGGUUGUAAACCGCUUUCAGCAGGGGCGAAGCUUGUGGUGACGGUACCUGCAGAAGAAGCACCGGCUAACUACGUG